UUUGCAUUAAUUAAAAUUUCUGGUAUAUUUGACUUUACAAUGUGGAAAAAAAAGAGACUAAAAUAAAGAAAAGCAGAAACAGAGGAAGAAGAAAAAGUUUUGCAGAUCCUGUGAUUGUUCUUUACUGUGUGUGUACCUUUGCUCUUCUUUGAAGUGAAAGCUACUUGAGAUUAUCCUUAAAGAAUCAAUAAUCUCAUAAAGUUUUUCACUUUUUUUGUAUAAGUAAUAAUUACAUCAACCAACACAAGAGAGUCACAAGAUUUCUUGCAAGUUCUUUGAUCCUUUGAUGUGUAUCUUUGUGUUCUCUGUUUCGCUGAUUUGGAUCUUGAUUGAAUACUCGUCUUCUCUACCGAUAUUUUGAUCUUCCUCGUUUUUGAUGCAGCUCUGGUAAAAGAGGAAGUUGACUAUGGUGUCAAGAACCAAGAAGAGAGCGUAUAAGUAAGCUAUGAAGGUUCCUUCAAGAGCUAUGGAUAUGAU
rnacentral:lncRNA from 1 species